AGGCGAAACCGGGCUUCGGCCCGGUCCGCCGGAAUUGGUCCUCCGGUGCUGACGAGCCAGACCAAA
rnacentral:hammerhead_ribozyme from 1 species